AUUGAACGCUGGCGGCAGGCCUAACACAUGCAAGUCGAACGAGUGGAGGACGGGUGAGUAAUGUCUGGGACACUGCCCGAUGGAGGGGGAUAACUACUGGAAACGGUAGCUAAUACCGCAUACCAUCAGAUGUGCCCAGAUGGGAUUGGCUAGUUGGUGGGGGAACGGCUCACCAAGGCGACGAGCCCUAGCUGGUCUGGGAGGCUGACCGGCGACACUGGAGGGGGGACACGGACAAGACUCCUGCGGGAGGCAGCAGUGGGGAAUAUUGGACAGUGGUCGCAAGCAUGAUGCAGCCGUGCCACGUGUAUGGAGAAGACCUUGGGGGUGUAAGGUCCUUUCAGCGGGGGUGCGUUACCCGCAGAAGAAGCACCGGCUAACUCCGUGCCAGCCGCCGCGGUAAUAC
rnacentral:rRNA from 1 species